UGGAGCUGAGCCGGGAGAGGCAGCCCAGGAGGGCUGCAGGGUUCUGACUUUAUUCUGGGUGAGAUGGAGGUCAUGGCAGGGCUGUGAGCAGGGAGGGACGUCUGUUCUACCUUUAGAAGGUCACCUUGACCACCAGAGUGGUGGUGGACAGCCCACCUGGGGCUGCCGUGCCUCCCCAGGGGCACCCUGCGAUGGCAGCUCGGUGGGCUUGGCAGGUGCUGGGCUGGUGCCCGCCGAGCCUGAGGGCUGACUGAGUGUGCUCUGUUGAGGAGUCCCAGGCCCCGUUCAGCAAACCCGGGGCCACACACCGCGGAGUUCCCCCGGCCUGUGGUAGGCGGCCUCCCUCCUCUCCUUCCUCAACCUUGCCCGCGUGGACUCCGGAGCGUGACGUCAACGCCAGGGAAAGGGAGCCGUGUCUGCAUCACUCCAGACGAGGACACUGGUUGGAGGCCGCGGCCCCUGGAGACAUGGAAGGGGACCCCUUGUCUGUCUUGUCUCUGCUUCUCUGUGGUACUUGAAGAGAAGUUGUUCGUGGUGGAUUCGCUUUACUUAUGACGAAUCAUUCACGGACAACACUUUUUUCAGUACCAAAUGCUACCUCUAAGGACUUCCCGGACACAGUGGCCACUUUAGGAAAGACAGCCUUUGUGUCAGCCACACGGAGAAACCAAGAAUGGAUGGUUGGCCAUGGACAGUGCACUUGGCCUAGCUGUAAGUCUCCAGGUUCCAUGACCUGAGCCUCCAUCCACUGUAGGCGGCCUUCCGCGGGCCACGCUAACUCUGGGGACGUGGCUGUGGUUCUGCCACCAGCAGCAGCUUACAAGACUUUGAAGAGAGGCCUCCUGGGCCCGAGGCCAGCUUCCAGAAGAGAUGUUGGUGUCCGCACCGUCCAGGGUGUGUGACUGGUUGACCAGAGGGGCAUGCACUCUGUUCACCCUGUGGGCCACCUAGUCACCAACCCUCAGCAUCAAUCGCACCCCAGGAAGACUUCCAGGAGAUCCUGCCGCCUUUGGGGAAGCAGCAGUGGACUUGCUAUGAGUGCCCGGUGGACCAGGAUGAUCCGUAGUCUUGGGGGUGGUGUUUACGUAGAGUGCCCCGAGCCGUCCUUGGUAGCUCCUCCAUCACUAUCGCAGCCUCCUCGAAGUGCUGGCCUCUGAUGUUGGACACGAUGUUGCCUCUGAUGAGGGACCUGAGCGGGCAGCUUCUCUCCUGGGUGUGUGAUCCAAUCGUUCUUCGCAGAGCAUGUGCUUCAUUUCUUAGGUAUGUGAUCUGGUCCUCUAACCCCUGGCAUCCCGUCUCUCCAUAGGAGGAUCCCUGGAGGGGAUUCCGGCUUUGGGAAGCGGCCAUUGUUCUCCAGUCAGCGCCACUAGGGGCUACCGAGAUGUGCUCAUUUUUUGACGGCUGUGGCACAGCGCCCCUCUUGUCCGGGAGGACUAACUGCACCCACCCCGCAGCAGGGGAAGGCAGAACAAAACGCCAGCCCCGCCCUAAGGUAAGUGUGCCUCGGGUGAGCAUGCACUUAAUGCGGGUGUAUGUCACUCGGCUCGGCCCACUACCCAACGCUAUCCCACCCAUCUCUAACAGGACUCCUGAGAGGGGCAGCUGCUUUUGUGAGAGAGGCAAUGGAUUUCUCACCAGUGUUCAUUUAUGGUACUUGGAGAGAGGCUGGCCGUGAUGAAUUCGAUUCAUCAAAGCGAGUCAUACACGGCUCUCCUCUCUUUUAGUGUCAGAUUCUGCCUCGGAGGGCUUCCUGAGCCAGUGCUGUGUCCCAGGUAGGUUUCUGGAUGGCUGAGCCUAGGCAAGCACUUUCCUGAUGAUGCAUGUUAUUGACCCACUAGCCCUAGCAUCCAAGCUGACCCUAAGACAACUUCCUGGGGUACUACCAACACUAGGAAAAGCAAGGGAGAUUGUCGAGAUGCCCUGCCUUUUAAAGAAUUAAUAUUGAAAUACACAUGGCUAGCUUCUUUUUUCUUAUUAUCAAAUUCAACUCCAAGGUUGAAUUUGGGCAACUCUUGGUUGAAUCUUGGGCAUCCAUAAGCAUCUUUUACUAUUCAACCCUAAGGAUAUAGAAGAGAAUAGGAGAGAGGACCCUUUAGUGUGACCCCUGGUUUACUAACCCACAACAGCCCCACACCCUCCAGGGAGCUCCUUUAAGGGGAUCCCAGAUUUACCAAGGAAACCGUGGUUGACCUGCUUUUGCAAACGUGUGGUUCGCUUUGUUUGUAAUGUCUCCUGUGCUGCUGACUCCUCUGCAUUAUUAAGUGUUGUGUGCAUGGCCAGUCAUGUGCAGGAAGUGGCAUUUCUGCCCACACUAAUCCUGGGUUGGUGAACCAGGGGUUGGCUGGAGAGCAUGGGUUUGAUUGGGAAUUGAGUCACUGGUCCACUCAUCCUUAGGGUCCCAUCCACCCUCAGAGGCCACUCCCAAGCUGCCCAGGCUGUGUGGAAGAUACCGCAAGCAGUGCCACCUCCUGGUACUCGGAGGGAGGUCGUCCGUGGAUGCCUUCUUGCAAUGCCAACUUCUGGGAGGGACAUGGAGUCAACACCACUCGACAGGUAUGUGAAUUUGCUGUUAAUAGUGGAAGAUUUUUUUCGUCAUGUGUCUGCUGUACGGUUAACUCUUUGUAUGCACUCUAUCCUCAGGAAGACUUCCUGGAAGUUGUGCCCACUGUUGGAGAUGAGGCCAUGAUUCUGAGGUUAGUGCCAAGCUGUGGGAUAAUAAAGCUUGCAUUUAACACUAUCUCUUUUUUAUGGUCAGUAUUGCAAAGUCAACCUCUUCAUAAUGGACUUAGCUUUGGAGGGCUUCCUGCACACAAGGCCUAUGGAAGGAAAGGAUCCUUGCUGUUGGCCUCGAUGCUAACGUGAACGGAGGGAAUGUUCCCCGCCGCGAUCGGAAUGAUGAAUUUCUGUGCACUAGACCUCUCCACCAUCAAUCCUUCUGGAAGUGCUCCCUAGAUAGGGGGAUGACCUUGGCCAAGGCAUCGAGGCCUCAACUACCGCAGGGUCUGAGAUGGGACAGUGGAACUCGGGUGUGUGCUCUGUUCUCAGCCCCCUUGCAGGCAGUCCACUAACCUUCCGUGCUCACUCUGUCCUCAGGGGAACUUCCUGGAGGAGGCCAACUGUGGAGAAGAGGCGUUGACACCGUGCCGGUGCUAAUGUGCGGUGCUUGAGGAUAGGUUAUCCGUGUUGCCUUCGCUUUAUUUGUGACGAAUCAUACACGGUUGACCUAUUUUUCAGUACCAAAUCCCGCCUUGGAGGGCUUCCUGGAGCAGAGUCUCAUUUCAGGGCAGGAACUUGGUAUCAGUUCCUCUCCUGGGUAAGCCAAGGGACUGUUGACCACAGCCGCACAGCUGACCGGGCCAAGCAUGUGCCCUCCUGAAGCUGGUCCUAACCCGUGUGUCACCUAUCCUUGGGAAGAUUGCUGGGGGUGGUGCCCACUUUGAGGCAAAAGUGGGGCUUUUCUUAUCAGAGCUACACUGCAGUACUUAUAGAGAAGUCUUCCAUGAUGCAGUCAUGCAAGUUGACAUUUUUAAAGUAUCAACUCUGGGGCCGGGCGCGGUGGCUCACAUCUGUAAUCCUAGCCCUCUGGGAGG